UACGUAGGGCGCAAGCGUUGUCCGGAAUUAUUGGGCGUAAAGAGCUCGUAGGCGGUUUGUCACGUCGGAUGUGAAAGCCCGGGGCUUAACCCCGGGUCUGCAUUCGAUACGGGCAGACUAGAGUGUGGUAGGGGAGAUCGGAAUUCCUGGUGUAGCGGUGAAAUGCGCAGAUAUCAGGAGGAACACCGGUGGCGAAGGCGCUGCUCUGGGCCGGUACUGACGCUGAGGAGCGAAAGCGUGGGUAGCAAACAGG
rnacentral:rRNA from 1 species